rnacentral:rRNA from 1 species
GAUGAACGCUGGCGGCGUGCCUAAUACAUGCAAGUCGAGCGAACAGACGAGGAGCUCGCUCCCUUCACGCGAGCGGCGGACGGGUGAGUAACACGAGGGUAACCUACCUAUAAGACUGGGAUAACGUCGGGAAAGCGGAUCUAAUACCCGAUAAUAUUUCGAACCGCAUGGAUCGCUAGUGAAAGAUGGCUUAGCUAUCCCUAAUAGAUGGACCUGCGCCGUAUUAGCAAGUUGGUAAGGUAACGGCCUACCAAGGCAACCGUUCGUAGCCGACCUGAGAGGGUGGUCGGCCCCACUUGAACUUGGACACGGUCCCGGCUCCUACGGGAGGGAGGCAGUGGGAAAUUUCCGCCAAGGGCGGCAACCUGACGGAGCCACGGCGCGUGGUUGAAAGAAGGCUUCGGGUCGUAAAACUAUGUUAUUAGGGAAAAACAAACGUGUAGGUAACAGUGCACGGCUUGACGGUAACUAAUCGGAUAGCCACGGCUAACUACCGU